CCGAAAGGGCGACGGCGCCGCUAGGAUGAAGCUCGUGAGAUUUUUGAUGAAAUUGAGUCACGGAACUGUAACCAUUGAAUUAAAAGAAUGGAACACAGGUCCAUGGAACAAUCGCAGGUGUAGAUGUCAGCAUGAAUACACAUCUUAAAGCUGUGAAAAUGACCCUGAAGAACAGAGAACCUGUACAGCUGGAAACACUGAGUAUUCGAGGAAAUAACAUUCGAUAUUUUAUUCUGCCAGACAGCUUACCUCUGGAUACAUUUCUUGUGGAUGUUGAACCAAAGGUGAAGUUUAAGAAAAGGGAAGCUGUUGCAGGAAGAGGCCGUGGCCGAGGAAGAGGGGGAAGAGGCCGUGGCCGAGGAAGAGGGGGUCCUAGGCGAUAA